UCCAGUAUAUCCAUUCCCCAAAUUGCAAAGGGUCAAGGGAUAGUAAUAAAAAUGAGCUCAACAGCAGGUUGAUGUUGGAUGUUAGCAUACCUUUGGUAUUGAUCGCAAUUGUUGACAAGAUCAGCAGUAUCUUUUUGGAUAGUUGGCCAGUAAUAGUCUUAUCGAAUUACUUUAUAAGUGAUCUAUUCCUCAAAUGAUUUUCAUAUAUUCCUUCAUGCACUUCUCGAAGUGCAUAAUCAGCUUUAGACAGUGUCAUGCACCG
rnacentral:lncRNA from 1 species